CUGCCAUGAUGACUACUUAGGACACCUUUGGAUCAAAGAUGAAAAUAAUCUCUUAAUCUGAGCAGU